rnacentral:rRNA from 1 species
CCAAGGGUAUGGCUGUUCGCCAUUUAAAGUGGUACGCGAGCUGGGUUUAGAACGUCGUGAGACAGUUCGGUCCCUAUCUGCCGUGGGCGCUGGAGAAUUGAGGGGGGCUGCUCCUAGUACGAGAGGACCGGAGUGGACGCAUCACUGGUGUUCGGGUUGUCAUGCCAAUGGCACUGCCCGGUAGCUAAAUGCGGAAGAGAUAAGUGCUGAAAGCAUCUAAGCACGAAACUUGCCCCGAGAUGAGUUCUCCCUGAGACUUUAAGUCUCCUGAAGGAACGUUGAAGACGACGACGUUGAUAGGCCGGGUGUGUAAGCGCAGCGAUGCGUUGAGCUAACCGGUACUAAUGAACCGUGAGGCUUAACCUUACAACGCCGAAG